UUACCCCUACGGGGGGCAGCAGUGGGGGAUAUUGCACAAUGGGGGGAACCCUGAUGCAGCGACGCCGCGUGGGUGAAGAAGCGCCUCGGCGCGUAAAGCCCUGUCAGCAGGGAAGAAAAUGACGGUACCUGAAGAAGAAGCCCCGGCUAACUACGUGCCAGCAGCCGCGGAAAUACGAAGGGGGCAAGCGUUAUCCGGAUUUACUGGGGGUAAAGGGGGCGCAGACGGCGAGGCAAGCCAGGAGGGAAAGCCCGGGGCCCAACCCGGG
rnacentral:rRNA from 1 species